rnacentral:rRNA from 1 species
CUGAAUAACUCUGCAGAGCGCAUGAGCUAGUCUCGGCGCCAUAUCUUUCAAGUGUCUGCCUUAUCAACUUUCGAUGGUAGUUUAUGUGCCUACCAUGGUUGUAACGGGUAACGGAGAAUAAGGGUUCGACUCCGGAGAGGGAGCCUGAGAAACGGCUACCACAUCCAAGGAAGGCAGCAGGCGCGCAAAUUACCCACUCUCAGCACGAGGAGGUAGUGACGAAAAAUAACGAGGUACUUCUCAUUGAGGUGUACCAUCGGAAUGGGUACAAUCCAAACCCUUUAACGAGGAUCUAUUGGAGGGCAAGUCUGGUGCCAGCAGCCGCGGUAAUUCCAGCUCCAAUAGCGUAUAUUAAAGUUGUUGCGGUUAAAAAG